UGUAGCGUGCAUAUCGAAAAUGGAAUGAAAAGGAUGUUUUGUGUUACCUCGUCCGCGCGUUGCACUAAAUUGCCGUCUGCCGAACUUUUCUCGUCGUUUGGCCUGUCUGAUGUAGACGUCAUUGGGGGGGCGUCCGGUCGUCAAUGCGUUAGCUAGCCUUUCUCGUCAUACAUGGCCGCAAGCCCGAGCUUGGCUGUCUGGGC
rnacentral:lncRNA from 1 species